rnacentral:rRNA from 1 species
AGUGAACGCUGGCGGUAGGCCUAACACAUGCAAGUCGAACGGCAGCACAGUAAGAGCUUGCUCUUACGGGUGGCGAGUGGCGGACGGGUGAGGAAUACAUCGGAAUCUACUUUUUCGUGGGGGAUAACGUAGGGAAACUUACGCUAAUACCGCAUACGACCUACGGGUGAAAGCAGGGGUUCUUCGAACCUUUCGCUAUUGAAUGAGCCGAUGUCGGAUUAGCUAGUUGGCGGGGUAAAGGCCCACCAAGGCGACGAUCCGUAGCUGGUCUGAGAGGAUGAACAGCCACACUGGAACUGAGACACGGUCCAGACUCCUACGGGAGGCAGCAGUGGGGAAUAUUGGACAAUGGGCGCAAGCCUGAUCCAGCCAUACCGCGUGGGUGAAGAAGGACUUCGGGUUUUAAAGUCCUUUUGUUGGGAAAGAAAAGCAGCAGGUUAAUACCCCGCUGUUCUGACGGUACCCAAAGAAUAAGCACCGGCUAACUUCGUG